UACGAAGGGGGCUAGCGUUGUUCGGAAUUACUGGGCGUAAAGCGCACGUAGGCGGAUUUGCCAGUCAGGGGUGAAAUCCCGGGGCUCAACCUCGGAACUGCCUCUGAUACAGCAAGUCUUGAGUCCGGAAGAGGUGGGUGGAAUUCCUAGUGUAGAGGUGAAAUUCGUAGAUAUUCGGAGGAACACCAGUGGCGAAGGCGGCUCACUGGUCCGGUACUGACGCUGAGGUGCGAAAGCGUGGGGAGCAAACAGG
rnacentral:rRNA from 1 species